rnacentral:rRNA from 1 species
AUGUACCCUUCUCUAAGGAAUAGCCUCUGGAAACGGAGAGUAAUACCUUAUACGCCCUUCGGGGGAAAGAUUUAUCGGAGAGGGAUCAGCCCGCGUUAGAUUAGAUAGUUGGUGGGGUAACGGCCUACCAAGUCUACGAUCUAUAGCUGGUUUUAGAGGAUGAUCAGCAACACUGGGACUGAGACACGGCCCAGACUCCUGCGGGAGGCAGCAGUGGGGAAUCUUGGACAAUGGGCGCAAGCCUGAUCCAGCCAUGCCGCGUGAGUGAUGAAGGCCUUAGGGUCGUAAAGCUCUUUCGCCAGGGAUGAUAAUGACAGUACCUGGUAAAGAAACCCCGGCUAACUCCGUGCCAGCAGCCGCGGUAAUACGGAGGGGGUUAGCGUUGUUCGGAAUUACUGGGCGUAAAGCGCGCGUAGGCGGGUUGUUAAGUUAGAGGUGAAAUCCCGGGGCUCAACCCCGGAACUGCCUUUAAUACUGGCAACCUAGAGUUCGAGAGAGGUGAGUGGAAUUCCGAGUGUAGAGGUGAAAUUCGUAGAUAUUCGGAGGAACA